rnacentral:rRNA from 1 species
AUUGAACGCUAGCGGGAUGCUCUACACAUGCAAGUCGAACGGCAGCGCGGACUUCGGUCUGGCGGCGAGUGGCGAACGGGUGAGUAAUGUAUCGGAACGUGCCCAGUAGCGGGGGAUAACUACGCGAAAGCGUAGCUAAUACCGCAUACGCCCUACGGGGGUACGCGGGGGAGCGUAAGACCUUGCACUAUUGGUGCGUCGGAUAUCGGAUUAGCUAGUUGGUGAGGUAACGGCUCACCAAGGCGACGAUCCGUAGCUGGUUUGAGAGGACGACCAGCCACACUGGGACUGAGACACGGCCCAGACUCCUACGGGAGGCAGCAGUGGGGAAUUUUGGACAAUGGGGGCAAGCCUGAUCCAGCCAUCCCGCGUGUGCGAUGAAGGCCUUCGGGUUGUAAAGCACUUUUGGCAGGAAAGAAACGUAGCGGGCUAAUACCCCGUGGAACUGACGGUACCUGCAGAAUAAGCACCGGCUAACUACGUG